CGAGUUUUACAAUCCAAUUUCAAUUGCAACCAACGCACUCGUCUUUUAAUUUUUUGUUGUUAAGAGCAGAAAAUACGAGCUGGAUUAUUCGUGAACGUGCCAAAUUGAGUAACUUUCAGAACUAUAUUUUUUUUAUUAUUUUAGAUUGUUUUAAAGAAAAAGAUUUCCUUUUUGUUUUCUAUGUUUUUUAUUCAAAUGACAGCUUUCAACUGAAAUAGCUUGUGCGGUAUAUUUGAGUAUUUUUUAUAAAUACCCAACACUGCAGCUCGCAUAUGCCAAUGAAUGAGAGAUAAAAGCCCGUGACAGUGUUGCCAGAAAAUUCCAGCAUCCGUUAAACGAGCGCUAAUUUAAAACACAUUUAAAUUUAAAAUUUUUGUAUUUCAAAAGAAAUAAAAAUACAAUAUUUCGUAUCUGAAUA